AUCCCCUCCAGGAUGGGACUGCGUCAGAUCAGGCUGUGGGCGGGGUAAUGGCCCACCAACCCUGUAACCAGUACGGGCCUUGAGCAGAGGGGGCCCAGAGGUGGUCACUGAGAAGAGGGCCGAGGUCCUACGGGGCACCGGAGGCGCAAAAUUCGCGAUGCGCGAAAGCGUGAGGAGGGGAAUCCGAGUGGGUCCCGCUGAGGGAAUCUUUUGUCGGCUCUAAAAAGGGCCGGGGAAUAAGGGGAGGGCAAGUCUGGUGUCCGCCGCCGCGGUAAUACCCGCUCCUCCCAGUGGGCGGGGCGAUUUUUGUGGCUAAAGCAUCCCUAGCCCGUUCUGUAGGUCCUCUGUUGAAACCCACGGCUUAACCGUUGGCCCGCACAAGAUACCGCUGGACUAGUAGGCGGGAGAGGCCCACGGGGCUCCACCUGGAGGGGGAAAAUCCUUUGUAUCCUCCUAAGACCACCAGUGGCGAAGGAAGUCUCCCAGAACGCGCUCAACGGUGAGGGAUGACAGCUGGGGGAGCCUACCGGAUUAUAUACCCGGCUAGUCCCACCCGUUAACAAAUGCAUAGCUAGUUGAUUCGGUCGCAAAUCGCGAUCGAAGUGUCGCAGGGAAGCCGUUAAGCUCGCCGCCUGGGGGAGUACGGUCGCCAGACUGAAACUUAAAGGAAUUGCUGGGGGGAGCCCAAAAAAAA
rnacentral:rRNA from 1 species